AUUCCACUUUAUACACUCGCCAGGGAACAACGAGCCACAGCUUAAAACCCAAAGGACUUGGCGGUGCUUUAAACCCCUCUAGAGGAGCCUGUUCUAGAAUCGAUAAUCCCCGUUAAACCUCACCCUCUCUUGUUUUUUCCGCCUAUAUACCGCCGUCGUCAGCUUACCCUGUGAAGGUUUUAUAGUAAGCAAAAUUGGCACACCCCAGCACGUCAGGUCAAGGUGUAGCGUACGAGGGGGGAAGAAAUGGGCUACAUUUACUGAUUCAGUAAAUACGAACCUUGCACUGAAAUAAGCAUGCGAAGGAGGAUUUAGCAGUAAGUUAAGGGAACAGAGCGCCCUUCUGAAAUCGGCCCUAAAGCGCGCACACACCGCCCGUCACUCUCCCCCACAACCCUGCCUCAUAUAAAUAAAAUGUAAAGGACACCUUUAGGGGAGGCAAGUCGUAA
rnacentral:rRNA from 1 species